GAAAUGCGAUAAGUAAUGUGAAUUGCAGAAUUCAGUGAAUCAUCGAAUCUUUGAACGCAUCUUGCGCUCCUUGGUAUUCCUUGGAGCAUGCCUGUUUGAGUAUCAUGAAAUCUUCAAAGUAAAUCUUUUGUUAACUCAAUUGGUUUCUACUUUGGUAUUGUAGGUCUUUGCAGCUUCACACCUGCUCCUCUUUGUUCAUUAGCUGGAUCUCAGUGUUAUGCUUGGUUCCACUCGGCGUGAUAAGUUAUCUAUCGCUGAGGACACUGUAAAAGGUGGCCAAGGUAAAUGCAGAUGAACCGCUUCUAAUAGUCCAUUGACUUGGACAAUACUUUUAUGAUCUGAUCUCAAAUCAGGUAGGACUACCCGCUGAACUUAAGC
rnacentral:misc_RNA from 1 species